rnacentral:rRNA from 1 species
GACGAACGCUGGCGGCGUGCCUAAUACAUGCAAGUCGAGCGGACUUGACAGAGCUUGCUCUGUUCAAGUUAGCGGCGGACGGGUGAGUAACACGUGGGCAACCUGCCCUGCAGAUUGGGAUAACUCCGGGAAACCGGGGCUAAUACCGAAUAAUAUGAAAAACCUCAUGGUUUUCUUUUAAAAGGCGGCUUCGGCUGUCACUGCAGGAUGGGCCCGCGGCGCAUUAGCUAGUUGGUGAGGUGACGGCUCACCAAGGCGACGAUGCGUAGCCGACCUGAGAGGGUGAUCGGCCACACUGGGGCUGAGACACGGCCCAGACUCCUACGGGAGGCAGCAGUAGGGAAUCUUCCGCAAUGGACGAAAGUCUGACGGAGCAACGCCGCGUGAGUGAAGAAGGUUUUCGGAUCGUAAAACUCUGUUGUCAGAGAAGAACAAGUCGGAGAGUAACUGCUCCGGCCUUGACGGUAUCUGACCAGAAAGCCACGGCUAACUACGUGCCAGCAGCCGCAGUAACAC